AUUUUAUUUUAUUUAAGCUGUUAGAUGGAUAGCUUGGUUUGGAUUGUGAUGAAGGACGUGGCAAGCUGCGAUAAGCCUUGGGGAGCUGCAUGCGAGCUUUGAACCAAGGAUCUCCGAAUGCGAAAACGUGUUCUUUGAAAAUCCCGAGAGGGAGACACACGCCGGGAAUUGAAACAUCUUAGUACCGGUAGGAAAAGAAAUCAAUAGAGAUUCCCUGAAUAGCAGCGAGCGAAACGGGAAUAGGGCAAACCGAAUCUGCUUUCGAAAGGAAGUUAGAGAUGUGGUGGAGUUGAGCCUAAGUUGUCGAGGGGAAGUUGACUGGAACGUCACGCUUCAAAGGGUGAUAGCCCCGUACUCGAAGACAAUAUGGCAUGCUCCGACAGAGUAGGGCUUCCUAGAAUGGAUGUCUGAAUACGGCAGGAUUAACUGCCAACCCUAAAUAUUAAUCCAAGUCCGAUAGCGAACUUAGUACCGCGAGGGAAAGCUGAAAAGUACCCAUAAUAGGGGGUUAAAAGACUUGAAAUCUAUCAGUUACAUAUGGUUACGGCAUUACGGUGUUGUAACGUACGUUUUGAAAAAUGGGCCACGGAGUGUAUCUAUGUGGCGAGGUUAAAUUGAAGCCAUAGCGAAAGCGAGUCUGAAAGGGCGCUAGUCACAUGGAUACGACCCGAAGCCGGAUGAUCUAUUCCUGAGCAGGUCGAAGUUUUUCGAAAGGAGAAUGGAGGACCGAACCAGUGCUAUGUGCAUGUGCUUGGAUGAUUUGGGAAUAGGGGUGAAAAGCCAAUCUAAUUCGGCAAUGGCUGGUUCCUGUCGAAAUAUGCCGUAGUAUAGUCUUACUGUGCUUGCCAGCGGGGUAAAGUACGGAUAAGGUCCGCAGGAUCGCAAGAUUACGGGACUUCUUCCAACUCAGAACCUGUUGGCUGUAUACAGUAGGAAUGGGGGGCAGGGCGUAAGGUUCUGUUCCGAGACGCGAACAAGCGAGACUAAAGUUAAGGUCCCAAAAGAUAUGCUAAGUGUAACAAACUAAGUCUUAAACCUGAGACACUAGGGAUGUAGGCCCAGAAGCAGCCAUCAUUCAAAGAAAGCGUAACAGCUCACCUAUUGAGGUUUGAGGCGGGGAAAAUGGACGGGGCUAAGCAUAUUACCGAUACUUUAGAGGCACUCGAAAGAGUGUUCUGGUAGGCAGGCGUGGAUUCUGCGCAGAAGUGUUCUCGAGAGAGUGCAUGGAGCGGGAUCCAACGAGAAUCGUGGUGUAAGUAAGAUCUAAUUGCCCUGAGAACGGGCAACGCCGAAAGAGCAAGGUUUCCUUGGCACUAUCGUUUAACCAAGGGUUAGUCGGCACCUAAGUCACACCUUAACUGGCUGUGGCGAAUGGAUUUCUGGUUAAUAUUCCAGAACUGUUGCAAUUUUCCGCACAUAUCGCUUUCGGAUAAGUAGAGGGGCGAGAGCUCCAAUCAAGUAGAAAGGCGUUGAGCGUAAUGCAUAGAUGCGCAAGAAUGCUUGAUGAAUUUGCUGACUCCAGGAGCCCAUGAAAAGUAUGUGCUUUAUGGAUUGCAGCAGCCGUACCUAGAACCGACACAGGUGCUCUAGCUGAGAAGGCUAAGGCGUGUAAGGAUAAACUGGUUAAGGGAACUCGGCAUAUUGGCCCCGUAUCUUCGGUAUAAGGGGUGUCUAUAGACGUGUUUGAUUCAUUAAGCGCGUUCGUAGAUCGCAGUAACAAGGACUGCCCGACUGUUUAUCAAAAACGUAGCUGAGUGCAAAUCCUAAAGGACUAGUAUACUCAGUGAGACCUGCCCAGUUGCGGUGUGUCAAAGUUCAGUUCAAUGGACCUAAGCCCCGUAAAACGGCGGGCCUAACUAUGAGGCUCUUAAGGUUGAAUAGUCAACUAAACUGCCUUACGGUAUUCGUCGCAAGAUGAGUAACGCUCUAAGUCACAAGUUAGGAAAAAAGAAAUAAACAGUAACAAUAAUGUUGAAGUUAAAAGUUAAACCAAUAGAGAAAAUCGAGCUAUAUGCUGGAACAUCCGGGAAUCCGACGAUACUCAAUGAUAAAUAAAAUAGCCGAAAUUGAUAUUGCUCGCUUCGCUCGCUAAUUAUCCAAACUUAACUUUCAAAGUUAGUCGAGAUAAUUUUAGUUAUGCGGAGCAUCUUGUCAAAGACAGAUGCGGAGCAAAUUAUUUAAGCAAUUUAUCGUUAGUAAAAAUUCGUUCGGUGCGGACAAUCAGCAGGGAAGAUUUCUUGAAAAAGAAAAACCCUCAGAGACUUCAUGCUCGAAAUAAUUUUAAUUAAUUAUUAAGAUAAAGUCCGAUCUUCAUAGCGAUAUGAAGUUAACAAAAAUGAGCGUAAUGCCUUGUCGUCUGAAUGGCGACGUGCAUGAAUGGUUUAACGAGGUAGUCACUGUCCCUAGCCAGAACCUUCUGAACUCACUUUACCGGUGAACAAGCCGGUGACUCCUAGUGGGAAGCUGAGACCUUGUGGACCUUUACUGCAACUUGUUGUUGCGGUGUUUAGUGAAAUGCAUAGCAUAGGUAGGAGCAUCGAUGUCUAGCUUAGGCGAAGACGGAGCGAUCUUGUAAUACUACCCAUUCCGUUGAACAUUGCUCACUCUCUUAGAGGGGACAGCAUCAGGCGGGCAGUUUGGCUGGGGCGGCACCCUCCAGAAAAGAUAUCUGGAGGGCCCAAAGUUAAGCUCAGUUAGGUUGGAAAUCUAACGUUGAGUGCAGAAGCAAAAGCUUAACUGACUGUGUUUCGCACAGCAAAGAACGCAGAGAUGAAAGUCUGGUUCAGCGACCCCACGUGACAGAAAAGGUACCCCAAGGAUAAUUGGCUGGUCGCGCCCGAUAGUCCAUAUUGACGGCGCGGUUUGGUGCGUCGCUGUCGGCUCUUCCUAUCCUGGUACUGCACAAGGUACCAAGGGUGUCGGAGUUCACGCAUUAAAAGGGAUCGUUAGCUGGGUUAAGAACGUCAAAUAGCAGCGAUUCUUUAGACGGCGCAUAAAAAUUACAGAGAAAAAUAGCCAAGUUGUUAAGCUCAUUUCAUUCGCUUAAUUAUCAUAACUUAAUCUGAAAAGGUUGGUUAGAUAAUAUUAAAUCGAGCGGAGCGAGCAGAUAAUUUAGGCAAUUUUUAAAUUGUAAAACAAACAUUACCAGAAAACACGGCGUUGCGUAAAAGUAAUUUUACGAAAAAUAAAAUCGGCUCAUAUCGGUGAAACCUUCUUCCAAUUAACUGUUAUCCCCGUAGAGACUUCGAAUCCUUGAUUAAAAUCAAGGCGCAUAAUAAAAAUAACCCAAAGCAGAUUAUGUGAAAAAUCCGAGAACGUUAGAAAUAAUGUUAACACGCCGAUCUCCUUUCGUAAAAUAGCCAAUAUUAUUGUAGCUCAUUUCAUUCGCUAAGUUAUCAUAACUUAACUUUCAAAAGUUGGUUAAAUAAUUUUAAGCGAGCGGAGCGAGCGUAUGAUAAUUUAGGCAAUUUACAAGAAAGGAUGAAGGUAUAGUCCACUCUUUAUCGAAAGAUAGAGGUCAAGUACGUGAGACAGUUUGUAUGAUAUCUACUAGGAGUGCUGUUGUCUGAGUGGAACGACCCUUUAGUACGAGAGGAACGGGGGUUGGCUGCCUCUGGUGUACCGGUUGUUAUGAGCAGGCCGGGUAGCUACGCAGUGAGCGGAUAAGUUCUGAAAGCAUCUAAGAACGAAGCCGUCCGCAAAACGAGACAACUAAGGCCGUCAUAGAAGAUGACGUUGAUAGAGUUGGUGUGUAAGAUUCAAGGCAACGAGAAUUUAAGCACUCAACUACUAAAAGCCUUAAUUAAAAAUAAA
rnacentral:rRNA from 1 species